GACGAACGCUGGCGGCGUGCCUAAUACAUGCAAGUCGAACGCAGUGGGGACGGGUGAGUAACACGUGGGUAACCUCCCAUCAGAGGGGAUAACACUUGGAAACAGUUGCUAAACCGAUCCUGAUGGAUGGUCCCGCGGUGCAUUAGCUCGUUGGUGGGGUAACGGCUCAACAAGGCCACGAUGCAUAGCCGACCUGCAAGGGGGGACGGCCACCUUGGUACUGAGGCACGGCCACGACUCCUCCAGGAGGCAGCAGUAGGGAAUCGUCGGCAAUGGACGAAAAUCUGACCGAGCAACGCCGCGGUAAUGAGGAGGGUUUUCGGAUCGUAAAACUCUGUUGUUAGAGAAGCGGUAUCUAACCAGAAAGCCACGGCGAACUACGUGCCAGAAGCCGCGGUAAUUC
rnacentral:rRNA from 1 species